rnacentral:lncRNA from 1 species
CUUCUUAGGUGAGCCAGAGGCUCGGUGGUGGGGAAGGCAGCUGGCCUUGGUGUCUACUCGGGGAUCAUCCCAGAUUGUCUAGCCUCAUCAGAAAGCAUUUAGGAGGCACCUAAUUGGACUUGGGGCUGGGCUCCUCCCCAAGUACUGCAGAUAAGUCUGUGUUCUGUGUGACCUAUGAGCGGGUGGGGGUGGAGGGACACCUGCCAGGAUGACUUCAUGGUGACCAUAUGUCCUGACCAACCCACUGUACAUAGGUCACAGAGCUGAGCAUGUCCUACCAAUUGUCAUGAUUCCUCCAAAGCAGCCUCAUGGGAUAGAUGCUUCCCUUGUCUCCAGAGCACUCACUUUAAGCAAUGACUUCCUAGACCCUGGCUAUGGCUAUGUGGACAUAAAGAUUUAUCUUGUGGGAGCAAGCAAUGUUCUAAAUCCAAGAGGCUUAAAGCAGCAGAAUCGAAAUUUCUAGAAAAACCAGUUUGGCUCAGCAGUGAACUGCCAUGUCUGCUCAGUGUGAUAGCUAAGAAAAUGGAGUUCAGAUGGAUGCUCAGGGGUAGACUAGGAAUACACAGGCGUCACCCCUUCCCGAGGCUGGCGUCCCGAGGCUGUCGUGUGCAGAUCAUUAGCAUCUAUCGCCUACCAGCUGUGUCAUCAAGACAAGGACAUUCAAGAUACCCAAUAUCUUGGCAUUUAUCUCACCGACUUCAGCCGUCUCCCAGAACAUCACAUUAUCUCAAAGGACAGCAUAAAAGGUCCCUAGACCCCUGCAGGCUGUGUACCCUCCACAUCCCAUCUUCAUCCCAGUCCUGCCUCUGAGCUCAUUAUCAGCAGCAACGUGCAUCUGUGCCUAGGAAGGCAGCGCCCUGAGGGUGCCUGCUGCAGGGCCAGAGGCCCUGGGAGACCCUUUUGCUUCAAUUGCUCAAGUGACCUGCCUCUUCUUAAGUGACCUACUUCCUUUUACAGACUCCUGAGUUAGACAGUUCAAGGUGAGUGACUGGCAACUCCACCCAGGCUCUGCUGGAGGCUGGACCAGAGCCAGCCGGCCCCUCCCCCUCCCUCUGAAUGAUUAGCUAGAUAAACUACAAGGCUGGCCCCAGGAGCUUAGAACCUCCGGGAGAGGGGGUAGAUUCUGUACACAUCUUUUUUUUUUUUUCUUCUAAAAACCUGAGCCCCUGAAUGGGCAAGCACAGUAGCAACUGAGCUACACCCCCAGUACCCUCCCCCCCUUUUUUUUUUGUUUUUUUUUUUGAGACAGGGUUUCUCUGUAUAGCCCUGGCUGUCCUGGAACU